rnacentral:rRNA from 1 species
AUUGAACGCUGGCGGCAUGCCUUACACAUGCAAGUCGAACGGCAGCACGGGGGCAACCCUGGUGGCGAGUGGCGAACGGGUGAGUAAUGCAUCGGAACGUGUCCUCUUGUGGGGGAUAACCAGUCGAAAGAUUGGCUAAUACCGCAUGAGAUCGCAAGAUGAAAGCGGGGGACCGCAAGGCCUCGCGCGAGAGGAGCGGCCGAUGCCGGAUUAGCUAGUUGGUGGGGUAAAAGCCUACCAAGGCGACAAUCCGUAGCUGGUCUGAGAGGACGACCAGCCACGCUGGGACUGAGACACGGCCCAGACUCCUACGGGAGGCAGCAGUGGGGAAUUUUGGACAAUGGGCGCAAGCCUGAUCCAGCCAUGCCGCGUGUGUGAAGGAGGCCUUCGGGUUGUAAAGCACUUUCGGACGGAACGAAAUCGCGCGGGCGAACAUCCCGCGUGGAUGACGGUACCGUAAGAAGAAGCACCGGCUAACUACGUGCCAGCAGCCGCAGUAA